rnacentral:rRNA from 1 species
AACAUUCUUAAGUCCAUUGGAAAAUGGCGCCAUGGAGGGUGAUAGCCCCGUAAAGAUGUCGUUUGUUCUAUUUUCUCUGGCCACCAAAGAGUCGAGUUGUUUGGGAAUGCAGCUCUAAGUGGGUGGUAAAUUCCAUCUAAAGCUAAAUAUUGGCGAGAGACCGAUAGCGAACAAGUACAGUGAUGGAAAGAUGAAAAGCACUUUGAAAAGAGAGUGAAAAAGUACGUGAAAUUGUUGAAAGGGAAGGGCUUGCAAGCAGACACAACCUCGUGUUGGGCCAGCAUCGGGGCGAGAGGAAGUAAAAACGAUUUGGAAAUGUAACUUUCGAGUAUUAUAGACCUUAUCCCUCCCUUCCAUCUCAUCCCGAGGCCUGC